CUUGGGAUAUGAAGAAGCAGAAGAAAGAUAAAUGAGGGUUGAUGAUCAGAGAGAACCACAUUAAAGUUGCCCAAAUGAUCAACAUCAUAAUGAAAUCACUUCUUUCUUCCUAGUGUAACAAGCAGUCAGACAGGAAUACUGCAUAGACAGAAAAAGUCUUCAUUAUGGCGCUUUGAGUGUGACUUCAAAAUGAAAAUGACUCAAGUCGCCACCGGGGGGAUUUCAGUUACCCUAUCCCUGCAAUUUACUUUCAACCUACCAUUUAAUCACCUAGAAACUAAGGUAUAAUUAGUAUUUUCUUCACUCUAAUUGGUCAUAAUGAAGUCAGAGUUGUGCAACACCUGCUGGAGGAUGGAAGAGCUUCUCAGGUUUCUGUCUCUUAUUAUAAUAAUCCAGACGGGGCCGAGGCUUCUGGAGCAUCAGGAGCCCCAUACGAUUACCACUGUGGCCUGCUCAUCUCCUAUUCUACUUCACUUUUUUUUUCUUUCCUGCCUCUGCUCCCACCUCAGUUUCAAAGGUCUUCUUUCCUUCAGAAGACGGCACAACCUGGCCUUCUCUCAGCCAAUCACAAAGCUAAUUGAGUCCAUGGGGAAAUUAAGGAAUUCACCUUCCAGCCCUGUAAGGCUGGACACACAUCAAACAAAUACCAACACACAUCAGUGAAAAGAGACCCACAUCGAGCGCGCGCGCACACACACACCUGCCCUUUUGAAAACACAUCAAAGCUGCCUGGUAAAAGCAACGUGAUGCUAAAUGCCAGUUUCAAUUUCAGAGCAAAGUGCAUGUGAUCUUGCUGCCACGUGAGUGAAGGCAUGUACAAGAACAAAAAACAAAACAGUCUUGUCUUUUGCUCACUUUUGCCCACAAGAGCACAAGGGGAGGGCUGAGCUCUCAGACAGCAAAAGUGCUAAAAAAAAAAAAAAAAACACAACAAAAGUGUGAACACCAGCACUUGCUGCAAAAUAGAGAUGCUUGCGAGCUCCAGCAACGGCAGAGUUCAUGCCACAUACAACUGAGGAGCUGCUAAAAGCUUCUACCACACUGGGGCCUUCAGAAAGAUUCCUGGGGUGUAGAACUGCAAAGCAAAGCAGAGUUAAAAAAAAAAAAAAAAAAAAAGAGAGAGAGAGAGCCUUGACUAAAGAUGGAGGCCUCAUCAACAUUCCUGUCUUUGUUUGGUUUUCACCAGAGAGCCAGAGGCCUCCAUUGGAUAAGAACUUGAGAGGACUGAAAAAUAGUUUCCUCAAAAGGUUUGGGAGGAAAAAGCUAUACCAGGUUAUUGUUCAGUAGAAAACAAAAGAAAAAAAAUGAUUACAAAAAGGACUGAAAAAGUCUUUGUGGGCUGCUUGAUAAAAUAGCACAAGGACAGUUUAUUCAGUGAUGCUUUCUCAUUGAGCAUGUUGCACCCCCUGCCAAACAGUGCUUACACGUUUUAAACGCUGGGACAUUGCCAGACAAACUCUCAAGUCAUUGACAAGUGUGAUGAAAGCAAAUUAAAUCCGCUUUUCUUUACAACCAUGCUGAAAUAGAAAUGUGUCAUCAAUAACUAUAAAGACUAUGGAAGCAAUAUUGAAGUGCUACGCUAUUUUGUCAAAGUGAAGUUUGCUAGCACACAACAUCAUCUGCUGAAAUAAGUCCAAGUAAAUGGAGAAAUGCUUUAAUCCUAAAACUCUGCAUUGCAACUACAGCUGCUUACAAAAGGAUUCAUAAUUAAUCUCUUCACCAAGAAGAGAUUAAUUAAAAACCGCCUGUGUUUAUGUUUUAUACACAUGUUGAACUGUUGCCCUGUUGUGUUGAUGAAGUCAGCAAAUAAUAUCUUUGGUUUGGUCAACAACACUAAGUUACUGUAUUUAUCAAUCUGGAAGUAAAAAGAAAUGAUACAGUGAAACACAAGAUAAAAAGUGUUUUGGCAUCAGAGUUGCCAUCGUUACUAAAAUAAAGGGCUGAUUUAACAGCAAACAGAUUCUUUAAAAACAUGAUACAUUGCAACUAUGAGACACUUAUUUUGAAGUACAAAAGGAAUCAUUUUUUGGGUUAUAUCCCUGUUGCGUUGACAAAGUUGUCUAAUAAAGAUGCUGACAAUGCUUGAUAAUACCUUUAUCUGGCAGCAUUUGGAUACUAAGCAAAAGAACUUAAAAAGCCACAGAAUGAGAAGCAAACUACAAAUGAUUUGUAGAUCAUUCUACAAAUCAUAAAGAUAUGGCGAGUAGAUAACUGUUAGGUGCCAACAAUGCUAACGUGAGAAUCUGCUUCUUAGCUCUUAUAAGCAAUGAUGUGAACUUGACAACCUAUAGUUUUGAAAUAAUUUUGAGAUGAUUCACAUCAGUUCAAUUCAAAAAUACUUUUUUGGUCCCAGAGGGAAUAAACAUAUUACACAAUUAUCUUCAAAGAGCAGUCAGUAUUACAGUGGUUCUGAAGAAGCCUCCGACUGAAGACAAUGUUGUUGUGUAGCGGUCUCAUGAAGAGAAUGCCCAGUACUGCCUUGACUAAUUUUCUUGAUUUUAUGCAAAAUCCUUCUUUGCACCAUCCUCUCCAAAGCUUCCACAGUCGUCCCGAGAACAGAACCAGCCUUCUUUAUCAGGUUGUUGAGCCUUUUAAAGUCUCUGACCCUGAUACAGCUUCCUCAACAGAUAAUGACAGAAAAGAUUACACUCUCCACAAGAGACAUGUAGAGUGUUUCAUAGCAACUUGCUGCAAAUCUUGAAGCGCAUAUGCUUUCUCAAGGAGUAAACUAUGUUCAGUCACUUCAUGCAGAUCCAGUUUGUUGUUCAGGUCAAAACCGAAGCAUUUAUGCUCCACCUCCUCCACCUCUUCUCUCAUCAUAGAAACAAGGUUUGACCCUGGUGUCUGCUAACUAUGCUAAAAGUUAGCACUCCUAUUGGUGCUAAGUUGAAGGACUAACCUGACACUAUGGUUUUAAAUUAAUGAAACCUUUAUAUUAUUAGGAAUGUGAAAUUCAAUAUUUUAUUCACGAGGACCACUUCAGAAUUAGAAACAAAACAUUGAGAAGCCAAAUCUGCACAAGAAUAUCAAACAGCCAUUGUAGAUUUUUUUUUUUUUUUUAAACAAAGUGGAAUAUUUUCUCUGUCUGUGAAACAAACAGAAAUGUUCAACCUCUGGUAUUCGUGAGCUGGAUGAAUGAAGACGGAAACAGUCCCUGGAUACGCACAUGCAAUUAGACAUUUCAUAAACAGUUAUGUAGGAGAAUAGCAGGCGAAAUUGUAAGCCUGCUGAUGGCCAAAGUUUAUUUAUGGACACAAACAGGACGAACUAUAAAGAAAAUCUGUAGCAAAGAGGCUCAGCUGAGAUGAUGAGAAAAAGCAGUCCAGAUAGGUUUUACCUAAAUCCUGAGGCCCUUUGGGUUUCUGCUCUGCAUCACCAUGACGACUGACCUCUUUACCUCAUGCUGCGUUUCCCGCUCUGACUGUAAACAGCCUUCACUUUCACCAUUCAUCAAACGCACAUCUAUCAGCUACAUGCGACACAUCCGGUGGAAGACCGCGACUGUAUACACAAACUCUUUCAAGGGGAGAUUUUCAAGAAGGACCAAGUCGUACAUGACCAAACACGGAAUAUCUUUCUUUUGUUUUGUUUUUUUUGUUUCUUUCAAAGUGUGCGCGAUGAUUAAAACGACAAUUUGCCAUCAGCAUUUCAUUCUAAGACUGAAAAGAGAGGCUGCACAGUGGCGCAGAUGGUAGAGCUGUUGCCUUGCAGCAAGAAGG